rnacentral:rRNA from 1 species
AGAGUUGAUCAUGGCUCAGGAUGAACGCUAGCUACAGGCUUAACACAUGCAAGUCGAGGGGCAGCAUGUGGUUGCUUGCAACCAAUGAUGGCGACCGGCGCACGGGUGAGUAACGCGUAUCCAACCUUCCCUAUAGUAGAGGAUAGCCCGGCGAAAGUCGGAUUAAUACUCUAUGUUUUCCAAUGCAGACAUCUAAGUUGGAACAAAGGUUCACCGCUAUAGGAUGGGGAUGCGUCUGAUUAGAUAGUCGGCGGGGUAACGGCCCACCGAGUCGACGAUCAGUAGGGGUUCUGAGAGGAAGGUCCCCCACAUUGGAACUGAGACACGGUCCAAACUCCUACGGGAGGCAGCAGUGAGGAAUAUUGGUCAAUGGGCGAGAGCCUGAACCAGCCAAGUAGCCGUGCAGGAUGACGGCCCUAUGGGUUGUAAACUGCUUUUAUACAGGGAUAAAGUGACGUACGUGUACGUUUUUGUAGGUACUGUAUGAAUAAGGACCGGCUAAUUCCGUGCCAGCCGCGGC